rnacentral:rRNA from 1 species
UACGUAGGGGGCAAGCGUUGUCCGGAUUUAUUGGGCGUAAAGAGCGUGUAGGCGGCUUGGCAAGUCUGCUGUGAAAACUCGAGGCUCAACCUCGAGCUGUCGGUGGAAACUGCCUGGCUAGAGUCCGGAAGAGGAGAGUGGAAUUCCUGGUGUAGCGGUGAAAUGCGCAGAUAUCAGGAAGAACACCGAUGGCGAAGGCAGCUCUCUGGGACGGUACUGACGCUGAGACGCGAAAGCGUGGGGAGCGAACAGG